rnacentral:rRNA from 1 species
UACGUAGGGUGCAAGCGUUAUUCGGAAUUACUGGGCGUAAAGGGUGCGUAGGCGGUUUGUUAAGUCUGUCGUGAAAUCCCCGGGCUCAACCUGGGAAUGGCGAUGGAUACUGGCUAGCUAGAGUGUGUCAGAGGAUGGUGGAAUUCCCGGUGUAGCGGUGAAAUGCGUAGAGAUCGGGAGGAACAUCAGUGGCGAAGGCGGCCAUCUGGGACAACACUGACGCUGAAGCACGAAAGCGUGGGGAGCAAACAGG